rnacentral:lncRNA from 1 species
CAAUCUAAUUAGUUCUAUUUUUCCAUAACUUGCUGUGAUACACAGCAGGGGGAUCCAAGGUGGGACAUCUCCAGGGCUGCUUGAGUCAAUGGGCCAGUGGCUUCUCCAAUGAUCUUCAUCAUUCACAACAUGCUGAGAUGGUAGGGCACCUCCUACACCUUUAGCUUUCAUGUUCUCUCACAAAAAUUUCUAAAGGCAGGAAAAGGAAACUUCUUCUUCUUUUGUGCUUUUUUAAGGCCUAAGUAAACAACUUCCAGAGUUCCCAGAGGACCACAGAUUACAGUCAUGGGCUCAGUAAACUAUGAUUCAACUUUUGUGGAGUGGACCUGUUGCAUGUGGGAAGAAAAAGAGCAAAAUCUUGCCUGUGUUGAAGGAAAGAAAUGAUGGAUGGAGUAGGAGAGAAUGAUUUGGGGUAGGGAAAGGUAGUUCCAGACACCAUUAGGUUGUUAAUUUUUUAAGUUAAUUCCUCAUGAAGGCCUAUAGAUUCUUAAUAAGCAUCAUCAAUUCAAGGUUUUGAGUAUUUAAAAAAAUAUUAAAUAUUAAAUUCCUCCCUUUAAACUAAUUACAAGAAAACAAAAAGCAAAAAGAUUGCCUUUUUUAACUUAAUACUCUGAAAUGUGGUUUUUGAGGAAGUUAUAUUCUCGGUUUAUGUUUAAAAAGAGGCAUAAUAAAAAUGAAGAGCUAUUGGAUGUUAAUACAUUUCAUACACCUAUUUUAAUAGAUACGUUUUUGUUCCUGAGACCAGAAUCAAAACCCUGAUCAUGUAUUAAGAUACAUGGGUGGUUUCAAUUUGUUGACAAAAUGUAUUAAAAACA